GGGGCGGGGCAGGGCAGCGUGUUGCUCCCCUGGCUGCUGAAGCCCGAGGUGGCUGUGGAGGAAGGCGAGAAGCCACCGCUCACCAGGGCUGGGGAGAGACGCAGCACCACGCGUUAUCAAAAGGCGGGCAAGGGCAAAACUCGUCAUCCACAGCAUGCACUCACACGGAAACAUGCAACGAAAAGACAAGACACCAAUUUUGGGGGGUCUAAUCUCUGACAACUUGCUCACAUGGAUGGAGGAUUUGCUGGAAACAUGGACGAGGAAUGUAGCGCCUGUUUGCCACAUUCGGGGAACCCGAUUAAACGCAACCGACGUACCCGUGUCUUGAGGCCUGAUGGGAAGUCUGCUCUGACUGGCGGGAAGAAUCUCUAGUUUAACAGUUUCAGAGGCGUUGGCCAGCAGCUGUGUCGCCUCCAUCAGGGAGCAGUGCUCUGUGCUGGUCCCG